GGGGAGGACAGAGAGACGCGCGAGCAGGAGGCGCCCUCUCUGCCCACAGCCACGCUCUACACGGCCCAAGGCCACCCCUCUUGUAGCUUCGCAAUAUGGCCUGGUCGGGGCGGGGGCGGGGGGUUUCGACUUGAAGAGCCGGCCUUUGAGUUGAAGGCGGGAAAAUGGCGGAUACCUCGGGGCGUGGUGCUGGGAAGCCUUCUGCAGGGGGUCCCAGUACUCCUAGUGGUGCUAAGACGAGAGGAAGAAGAAUACAAGCUCCUGUGGGUCUCUGUGUCUCCGCUUCUAGCCCUGGUGCUUGUAUACAGCAGGUGGAAGAGUGGUUGAGUCCCGGUACUUGCAGUAUGAGAAGAAAACCACCAAAAAGGCUGCUCCAGGUCCUAGUUGCGGCAUGCAGGAUCUUCGUGUGGCACCCUCCUGCAGCAGAUGCAUUAAAGGCCAGUGGGAAGAUGCCUGAAGGUGGAAGAAAACCCAACCCACUCCAGAAGAGCAAAGACAGCAGUGGAACUGGCAAAGGUGACCUGCAGUCUACCUUGCUGGAAGGGCAUGGCACUGCCCCACCUGACCUGGAUCUCUCGGCCAUUAAUGACAAAAGCGUGGUCCGAAAGACUCCACAGUUAGAAAAAACAAUGUCAAAGAAAGCUGAGUCAUCAUCAUUUUCUGCCUUGAGGAAAAAGAGCCCAGAGCUCUCCGAAGCGAUGGAAAUGAUGGAAUCCCAAACACUACUCCUGACUCUGCUGACCUUGAAGAUGGAAAGUGGUCUUGCUGCAUUCGAAGAAAAGGCAGAAAAGAAUUUAUUAAUAAUGUGCAAAGAGAAGGAGAAGCUCCAGAAAAAAGCUCACGAGCUGAAGCGCCAAUUUCUCCUCUGUCAGAGGAAGCGGGAGCUGGCAGACGUCCUGGACGCGCAGAUCGAGAUGCUGAGCCCCUGUGAGGCCAUAGCCAGCUGCUUUAAGGAACGAUACAAGACAUUUGCGACGGCCUUGGACACCACGAGGCAUGAACUGCCCGUGAAAUCGGUCCACCUGGACGGAGACGGGCAGUGCUUCUUAGGUAGGAAAUGGGGCAGCUGCCUGGCAAGGGGUAGGAUGAACCUCCCAGUGUAUGCUGGCAUUUCCCGUGUCCUGGGCACCUUUAUCCGUUCGUGUCAGGUCAUAGGCCUCCUCUCAGGUAGACGGCGCGUACCCCAUCAAAUGGCAGAAGACGCAGGGGGCCAGCAAGGCUGCGGUUUGUGUGGGGUCAUGCCCUGAGUAAGGACUGUGUUGGGAUUUGAACCUAGGUCUGUAGGACCCCCGCAGUGAUUUCCCGUCCUGCUGAAAGGCAUCCUGGGAGCCUGCAGUCUCUACAAAGGUGCUUUGGUGGCUGGGGAACAACAGGGCCACCGACCCCAACCCUGUCCUGCCUUCUAAGCAGAGCUGAGAGGGUCCCUUUCCUGUAUAGGGUUCCCACCUAAUACUUCACUUGAAGAAGGCGGCAAGUGUGAAGAGGGCCAUCCUCUAUCCUAAAAUUCUCUUUAGAACAAGUAUCUUCCCCAAAUAAGUUUUCAGCUGCCCUACGGUUUGGUCCUCCCUCCCUCCCUCCCUCUCCCUCCCUCUCCCCGCCUCCCUCCCUCCCUGUCUCCCGUACCCCACCCUCCCUUCCUCCCUUUCUUUCUCUGAAGUAUAGUUGAUUUAUCAAUACAAUGUUGUGGUAGUUUCUGCUGUAUUGCAAAGUGACUUAGUUAUACACAUAUAGACAUUCUCUUUUUUUUUGUAUUCUUUUCCAUUAUGGUUUAUCACAAGAUAUUGAAUAUAGUUCCCUGUGCUAUAUAGUGGGUCCUUGUUGUUUAUCCAUCCUAUAGAUACUAGUUUGCAUCUGCUAACCCCAGCCUCCCACUCCAUCCCCCCCGCUGCCCCUUGGCAACCACAAGUCUGUUCUCUGCGUCUGUGAGUCUGUUUCUGUUUCGUAGAUAAGUUCAUUUAUGUCAUAUUUUAGAUUCCACAUAUAAGCGAUGUCAUAUGAUACUUGUCUUUGUCCGGCUUACCGCACUUACUAUGAUAAUCUCUAGGUCCAUCUCUGUAGCUGCAAAUGGCAUUAUUUUAUUCUGUCUUAUGGCUGAGUAGUAUUCCAUUGUAUAUACAUACCACACCUUCUUUAUCCAUUCAUCUGUCCAUGGACAUUUAGGUUGCUUCCGUGUCUUGGCUAUUGUAAAUAGUGCUGCUAUGAAGAUAGGGGUGCAUGUAUCUUUUUGAAUUAUAGUUUUGUCCAGAUAUAUGCCCAGGAUUGGGAUUGCUGGGUCAUAUGACAUAGAGUUUGGUUAUUUCUAAGCAAAGUUCUCAUGAGCCACCUGGACGUGUUUAGCUUGAUUUUACUGAUGUAAAAUCAAGCCUUUUCCAACGUGAAAUAGUAUAUGUAUGAAACGGGACCUUGAAAAAUGAGCCAUGUUGAACCAUCAUCUGUGUCUGGGUUUCUAAUUUUAUAAUUAUGGCAACCAACUGCACGUCUAUAUCUCUUGGUCUCCAUCUCUGAUAAAUGCCCUAGAUAGUUGCCAGGAGUUGGGAUUGGGGACUGUUUGAGUUUCCUAGAGCUUCUGUAACAAAAUACCACAAAUCAGGUGGCCUAAAACAACAGAAAUUUAUUCCCUCCCAGUUCAGGGGACUAGAAGUCCGAAAUCAAGGUGUCAUUGGGGUUGGCUUCUUCUGGAGGCUCUAGGGGAGAAUGCAUCCCCUGGCUUUUAGUGUCCUGGCAAUCUUGGCUCAUGGAGCAUUCCUUCAGACUCUGACUGUUUUUUCUUUUUUUUAUUAAGCUUUUAAAAAAUAUUUAUUUAUUUUUGGCUGCAUCGGGUCUUAGUUGUGGCACAUGAGAUCUUUUCGUAGCAGCGCAUGGGCUCUUCAUUGCGGUGUGCAGGCUCCAGAGUGUGGGGGCUCUGUAGUUGUAGCUCUCUAGUUGUGGCUUGUGUGCUCCUUAGCUGUGGCGUGCAGGCUUAGUUGCCCCGCGGCACGUGGGAUCCAGGGAUCGAAUCUGCGUCCCCUUCAUUGGAAGGAGCAUUCUUAACCACUGGACCGCCAGGGAAGUCACCAAGCUUUAUUUUAUUUUGGUAUUGUUUUUUGUUUUUUUAAAAUUUUUUUGCAGUGUAGUUGAUUUACAGUGUUGUGCUGCUGCCUCUGUCUUCACAUGGCCUUGUUUCUGAGCGCCUCUGUGUCUAAACUGCCCUUUUCUUAGAAGGACACCAGUUAUUGGAUUAGGCCCCUCCCUAAUGACCUCAUUCUAACUCCGUUACAUCUACAAAAACCUCAUUUCCAGUUAGGUCACCUUCACAGGUACUUGAGAUUAGGACCUGAACAUGUCUUUUUGGGAGGACACAGUUCAGUCCCCUGGCAAAGAAGAUAUGUGUUUGUAAGAACGCUUAUAAGGUUCCCCAAGUGUUAUAAUUUACAGCUGGGACAUGUGCUGGACUCGGAGAGAUGCUGGCUUUGUUAGAGCAGGGGGGACCCAGCGCUGUUGCAGGCGGCUCUCUGCUGGGGGGGCGUUGGGGGCAGAAGUGCUGGGAACAGGGAGUGGGAACCAUGGGUUUGUUCUUAAGUUACUCCUAGACCAGAUCUUCUCUGUCUUUUGGAUUUGCUUCUGUUGAGGACACCAGUGCACCAUUCCAGACAAGUUGCAGGGGGAAUUGACGACCACAUGCCAUCUGCUGGGAGAACUUGGCAUCAGCAGCUCAGAAGAAAACGCGAAGGCCUUGGACCUGCUGAGGGAACUCAAGGAAAUGACCCAAAAGAAGGAUCUGGAGCU